rnacentral:rRNA from 1 species
ACUAUACGGUGAAACUGCGAAUGGCUCAUUAAAUCAGUUAUCGUUUAUUUGAUAGUACCUUACUACAUGGAUAACCGUGGUAAUUCUAGAGCUAAUACAUGCUAAAAACCUCGACUUCGGAAGGGGUGUAUUUAUUAGAUAAAAAACCAAUGCCCUUCGGGGCUCCUUGGUGAAUCAUAAUAACUUAACGAAUCGCAUGGCCUUGCGCCGGCGAUGGUUCAUUCAAAUUUCUGCCCUAUCAACUUUCGAUGGUAGGAUAGUGGCCUACCAUGGUAUCAACGGGUAACGGGGAAUUAGGGUUCGACUCCGGAGAGGGAGCCUGAGAAACGGCUACCACAUCCAAGGAAGGCAGCAGGCGCGCAAAUUACCCAAUCCCGACACGGGGAGGUAGUGACAAUAAAUACUGAUACAGGGCUCUUUUGGGUCUUGUAAUUGGAAUGAGUACAAUUUAAAUCCCUUAACGAGGAACAAUUGGAGGGCAAGUCUGGUGCCAGCAGCCGCGGUAAUUCCAGCUCCAAUAGCGUAUAUUAAAGUUGUUGCAGUUAAAAAGCUCGUAGUUGAACCUUGGGCCUGGCUGGCCGGUCCGCCUCACCGCGUGUACUGGUCCGGCCGGGCCUUUCCUUCUGGGGAACCUCAUGCCCUUCACUGGGCGUGUUGGGGAACCAGGACUUUUACUUUGAAAAAAUUAGAGUGUUCAAAGCAGGCCUUUGCUCGAAUACAUUAGCAUGGAAUAAUAGAAUAGGACGUGUGGUUCUAUUUUGUUGGUUUCUAGGACCGCCGUAAUGAUUAAUAGGGAUAGUCGGGGGCAUCAGUAUUCAAUCGUCAGAGGUGAAAUUCUUGGAUUGAUUGAAGACUAACUACUGCGAAAGCAUUUGCCAAGGAUGUUUUCAUUAAUCAGUGAACGAAAGUUAGGGGAUCGAAGACGAUCAGAUACCGUCGUAGUCUUAACCAUAAACUAUGCCGACUAGGGAUCGGACGGUGUUAGUAUUUUGACCCGUUCGGCACCUUACGAGAAAUCAAAGUUUUUGG